GGGCUGUUAGCUCAGUUGGUAGAGCAGCGGACUUUUAAUCCGCAGCAACGGGCUCCGAUAGCAGGUUUAUUCAAUCGUUUCGCGGCAGAGCGCAGUCCGCAGCGGCCCCAUAGCGCCA
rnacentral:tRNA from 1 species